rnacentral:lncRNA from 1 species
UGUAACACGGUGGGAGAACUGACUUUAGUUAAAUGUUGCGGAUAGCAAGAGUCGCCACCGACUUUUAUUUUAUCCAAAAGGAAAGGACAUAAAAGAAUAGGAAAGACCUUAAAAAGAUUUUGAGUUCGGGGGGUAGGUUAUACAAAGGGAAGGUAUUAGCACCCUUUAUAUCCAUGGUUAUCCAUGGGCUCUUAGUUACUUAGCUCACUUUGUUUGUUUGCAAGAGUGUAGUGUGUGAUU